rnacentral:rRNA from 1 species
UACGGGGGGAGCAAGCGUUGUUCGGAUUUACUGGGCGUAAAGGGCGCGUAGGCGGCCACCGCAAGUCGGUUGUGAAAUCUCCGGGCUUAACCCGGAAAGGUCAAUCGAUACUGCGGGGCUAGAGUGCAGAAGGGGCAACUGGAAUUCUCGGUGUAGCGGUGAAAUGCGUAGAUAUCGAGAGGAACACCUGCGGCGAAGGCGGGUUGCUGGGCUGACACGUGACGCUGAAGCGCGAAAGCUAGGGGAGCGAACGGG